rnacentral:rRNA from 1 species
GAUGAACGCUGGCGGCGUGCCUAAUACAUGCAAGUCGAGCGAAGCGGGGACGGGUGAGUAACCCGUGGAUAACCUCCUAUAAGACUGGGAUAACUUCGGGAAACCGGAGCUAAACCGGAUCCUUAUCGAUGGAUCCGCGCUGCAUUAGCUAGUUGGUAAGUUAACGGCGUACCAAGGCCACGAUGCAUAGCCGACCUGAUAGUGUGAUCGGCCAAACUGGAACGUAGACACGGUCCAGACUCCUACGGUAGGCAGCAGUAGAGAAUCUUCCGCAAUGGGCGAAAGCCUGACGGAGCAACGCCGCGUGGGUGAUGAAGGUCUUCGGAUCGUAAAGCUCUAUUAUUAGGGCAGCGGUAGCUAAUCAGAAAGCCACGGCUAACUACGUGCCAGCAGCCGCGGUAAUUC